UACGUAGGGUGCAAGCGUUGUCCGGAAUUAUUGGGCGUAAAGAGCUCGUAGGCGGUUUGUCGCGUCGAAUGUGAAAACCCGGGGCUCAACCCCGGGCCUGCAUUCGAUACGGGCAGACUAGAGUUCGGUAGGGGAGUCUGGAAUUCCUGGUGUAGCGGUGAAAUGCGCAGAUAUCAGGAGGAACACCGGUGGCGAAGGCGGGACUCUGGGCCGAUACUGACGCUCAUGCACGACAGCGUGGGGAUCAAACAGG
rnacentral:rRNA from 1 species